AAUAACGGACAAUGGGCGAAAGCCUGAUCCAGCCAUGCCGCGUGUGUGAAGAAGGUCUUCGGAUGGUAAAGCACAUUAUGUUGGGAGGAAGGGUUGUAGAUUAAUACUCUGCAAUUGUGACGUUCCCGACAGAAUAAGCACCGUCACGCUGCGUUCAAGCAGCCGCGGUAAUACGAAGGGUGCAAGCGUUAAUCGGAAUUACUGGGCGUAAAGCGCGCGUAGGUGGUACGUUAAGUUGGAUGUGAAAGCCCCGGGCUCAACCUGGGAACUGCAUCCAAAACUGGAGAGCUAGAGUACGGUAGAGGGUGGUGGAAUUUCCUGUGUAGCGGUGAAAGGCGUAGAUAUAGGAAGGAACACCAGUGGCGAAGGCGACCACCUGGACUGAUACUGACACUGAGGUGCGAAAGCGUGGGGAGCAAACAGG
rnacentral:rRNA from 1 species